rnacentral:rRNA from 1 species
AUUGAACGCUGGCGGCAGGCCUAACACAUGCAAGUCGAACGAGUGGCGGACGGGUGAGUAAUGUCUGGGAAACUGCCUGAUGGAGGGGUAUAACUACUGGAAACGGUAGCUAAUACCGCAUACCAUCGGAUGUGCCCAGAUGGGAUUAGCUAGUAGGUGGGGUAACGGCUCACCUAGGCGACGAUCCCUAGCUGGUCUGAGAGGAUGACCAGACCGACUGAGACGGAGACACGGUCCAGAGUCCUACGGGAGGCAGCAGUGGGGAAUAUUGCACAAUGGGCGCAAGCCUGAUGCAGCCAUGCCGCGUGUAUGAAGAAGGCCUUCGGGUUGUAAAGUACUUUCAGAGGGGAGACGUUACCCGCAGAAGAAGCACCGGCUAACUCCGUGCCAGCCGCCGCGGUAAUAC